rnacentral:rRNA from 1 species
AGUGAACGCUGGCGGCGUGCUUAAGACAUGCAAGUCGAACGGCAGUCUUCGGACUGUAGUGGCGCACGGGUGAGUAACGCGUAACUGACCUACCCCAAAGUCGCGGAUAACGAUUCGAAAGAAUCGCUAGUACGUGAUGUGCUGUCAGAUUGUGUUCUGCCAGUAAAGAUUGAUUGCUUUGGGAUGGGGUUGCGUUCCAUCAGCUAGUUGGUGGGGUAAAGGCCCACCAAGGCGACGACGGAUAGCCGGCCUGAGAGGGUGGCCGGCCACAGGGGCACUGAGACACGGGUCCCACUCCUACGGGAGGCAGCUGUUAGGAAUCUUCCACAAUGGGCGAAAGCCUGAUGGAGCGACGCCGCGUGAGGGAUGAAGGUCUUCGGAUCGUAAACCUCUGAAUCAGGGACGAAAGACACUUCGGUGGGAUGACGGUACCUGAGUAAUAGCACCGGCUAACUCCGUGCCAGCCGCCGCAGUAAAAC